UGGGGAAUAUUGGGCAAUGGAGGGAACUCUGACCCAGCCAUGCCGCGUGCAGGAUGAAGGCGUUAUGCGUUGUAAACUGCUUUUAUAUAGGAAGAAAUAGUCCUUGCGAGGAAAGUUGACGGUACUAUAUGAAUAAGCACCGGCUAACUCCGUGCCAGCAGCCGCGGUAAUACGGAGGGUGCAAGCGUUGUCCGGAUUUAUUGGGUUUAAAGGGUGCGUAGGCGGUUUAUUAAGUCAGUGGUGAAAGACGGUCGCUCAACGAUUGCAGUGCCAUUGAUACUGGUAGACUUGAGUAUGAUUGAGGUAGCUGGAAUGGAUAGUGUAGCGGUGAAAUGCAUAGAUAUUAUCCAGAACACCAAUUGCGUAGGCAAGUUACUAAGUCAUAACUGACGCUGAGGCACGAAAGUGUGGGUAUCAAACAGGAUUAGAUACCCACGUAGUCCCUGAGCGGGCUGGCAAGGCGCAU
rnacentral:rRNA from 1 species